GGGAAUUGUAGUAUAGCCGAGGUCCAGUACUCUUGGAAGAGCCGGCGGGAAAGAGGUGUGGGAGGUCAGGCCUUCCGCUGUGGCUCCUCCCUUCCCGCUAGGUGGCGGUGCACGUGGACAUCUGCCUGAGAAUUUUCCUUCUAUCACGCAAUAGUGACCGCCCUUCAGGUUUAGGUUUCGAUUAAAUAAAAUUUAGAGAGGUUUGCUCAGAAAUGGCGAAGCCAUGUGAAAGAAAUGAUAACGGCCCGUAAUUACUUCCCGCGUGUGCUGCUCAUCGGACGUUUUGUGAGGUUACAAAGAAGCAUGGCGCUGAGUACGAGGGGGAUAAGUUUGAUGUCAAGACUUUUCUCGGGAGGUAACUUCCUCCUUUCAGGAGCGUUACCUGGUCUGCCAGGUGUUCUCAUUGGAUCCGGCAUGGCCCUUCAACCCAGCCUUAGCCUUAUUUCUGUCUUCAAGGACGCUCUGUCUGAGCACAAGUGGACCAGUGCAGGACCUGUAUGCAGGAACAAAGCAGAAAUUCCAAAUGAAAUGUUGCAAUUUCAAAACUGAGCAUUUUGUAGUACAAUCUUUGGAUUUCAGAAAGAUUUACAUCGGCCUCUUAUAUGGCAAAGAAAAACAAACUGGUACUACUGAUGUCAACGUUGCACCAUGUUGGAAAUGCUGUUGAAGAAACCUUGACAAAAUGGAAGCCUGAGAUGGGCACUUUCUACAACAAAACCAAAGGUGGAGUAGAUAUUGAUGAGUUAUUCAACAACUAUGAUGUCACUUGAAACACAAAGCACUGGCCAAUGGUUGUGCUUUACUCAAUUCUAAACAUAUGGGGCAUAAAUAGUUUGAUAGUUUACAAAGAAAAUAACAAGUGCAAAAUACCAUGGAGAAAUUUUCUUAGAGGAUUGAUGCUGGAACUCAUCAGAGAUCAUUUAUAGCAGAGGAAAAACAAAAUGUUUCUGCUCAGGGAACUACACACAAAAAAUUGUGGAGCACACUGGUAAGCUGACAGGUGAACAGGCAGUCACAGCAUCCCAAAGACCUAUGACAACAGGAAAGCCAAAAAGAUGUCAACCGUGUCCUGCAGGUGACAGGAUAGGGAAACAAAACAUACGUGCUAUCGUUGUAAGUGAUACUUGUUUAUGGACCAUGCAGUUUUCAUGUGUGAAGACUGCCUGGGUGUGACAUUGAAGCAAAGGUUAUUUUUGUAGUAAUAUUCUAUUGGUAUUUUCAUUGUAGUUCAUAUAGGUGUUUUUUUUUUAAUAUAGGUUUUUAUUUCUGAUGUUAUCUUCUAGGUUUUAUAAACAAGUACACAGCUGAUGUGAAAAUGUUGAUGUUCAUUCUAAAUGUGCAAUACAUAUUAAUAAUUUCAUACUUUAUUUUAUUGAUAUUUUAUGUUUAUAUUAACUAUACAUUGUAUAAUAUAAUAAGAGCCUCCUGACAAAACAGCAAGACCAGUGAGAUGUCAUGUGUGUCCUACAAAAAGGACAGGAAAGCAAAGCACAUAUGCUGUCAGUGUAAGUGAUACAUGUGUAUGGAACAUGUUGUUGUUUUGUUUGAAGAUUGCCUUAGAUGUGAUAAUUAAAGUAAAGGUUAUUUUUUUGAAGAGUACUAUUGGUAUUUUCAUUGGAGUUCACAUAGGAAUUUAUUUGUUGUUCUUUUUUAGACUUUAUUUACCAAAAAAAAGUUGAUGUUGAAAAUUCUGAUGCUGU
rnacentral:lncRNA from 1 species